rnacentral:rRNA from 1 species
GACGAACCGAGCGAACGUUAUUCGGAAUCACUGGGCUUAAAGGGUGCGUAGGCGGGCUGUCAAGUCUGGGGUGAAAUCCCACGGCUCAACCGUGGAACUGCCUCAGAUACUGACGGCCUCGAGGAAGGUAGGGGCAUGCGGAACUGUAGGUGGAGCGGUGAAAUGCGUUGAUAUCUACAGGAACUCCGGUGGCGAAAGCGGCGUGCUGGACCUUUUCUGACGCUGAGGCACGAAAGCUAGGGGAGCAAACGGGAUUAGAUACCCCGGUAGUCCUAGCCCUAAACGAUGGGUACUAGAUAGUAGACUAGAUAUGAGUUUACUGUCGAAGUUAAAAUGCUAAGUACCCCGCCUGGGGAGUAUGGUCGCAAGGCUG